rnacentral:rRNA from 1 species
CCUACGGGUGGCAGCAGUGAGGAAUAUUGGUCAAUGGACGCAAGUCUGAACCAGCCAUGCCGCGUGCAGGAAGACGGCUCUAUGAGUUGUAAACUGCUUUUGUACGAGGGUAAACGCAGAUACGUGUAUCUGUCUGCAAGUAUCGUACGAAUAAGGAUCGGCUAACUCCGUGCCAGCAGCCGCGGUAAUACGGAGGAUUCAAGCGUUAUCCGGAUUUAUUGGGUUUAAAGGGUGCGUAGGCGGUCGGAUAAGUUAGAGGUGAAAUCCCGAGGCUCAACUUCGGAAUUGCCUUUGAUACUGGUCGGCUAGAGAGUAGUUGCGGUAGGCGGAAUGUGUGGUGUAGCGGUGAAAUGCUUAGAGAUCAUACAGAACACCGAUUGCGAAGGCAGCUUACCAAGCUACUUCUGACGUUGAGGCACGAAAGCGUGGGGAGCAAACAGGAUUAGAUACCCUAGUAGUC